rnacentral:rRNA from 1 species
AUUGAACGCUGGCGGCAUGCUUUACACAUGCAAGUCGAACGGUAACAGGCCGCAAGGUGCUGACGAGUGGCGAACGGGUGAGUAAUGCAUCGGAACGUGCCCGGUCGUGGGGGAUAACGCAGCGAAAGCUGCGCUAAUACCGCAUACGAUCUAUGGAUGAAAGCGGGGGACCGUAAGGCCUCGCGCGAUUGGAGCGGCCGAUGUCAGAUUAGGUAGUUGGGGGGGUAAAGGCUCACCAAGCCGACGAUCUGUAGCUGGUCUGAGAGGACGACCAGCCACACUGGGACUGAGACACGGCCCAGACUCCUUCGGGAGGCAGCAGUGGGGAAUUUUGGACAAUGGGCGCAAGCCUGAUCCAGCAAUGCCGCGGGCAGGAAGAAGGCCUUCGGGUUGUAAACUGCUUUUGUACGGAACGAAACGGUCUGGGUUAAUACCCUGGGCUAAUGACGGUACCGUAAGAAUAAGCACCGGCUAACUACGUGCCAGCAGCCGCUGUAAGAC